UUAAGCGACUAAGCGUACACGGUGGAUGCCCUGGCAGUCAGAGGCGAUGAAGGACGUGCUAAUCUGCGAUAAGCGUCGGUAAGGUGAUAUGAACCGUUAUAACCGGCGAUUUCCGAAUGGGGAAACCCAGUGUGUUUCGACACACUAUCAUUAACUGAAUCCAUAGGUUAAUGAGGCGAACCGGGGGAACUGAAACAUCUAAGUACCCCGAGGAAAAGAAAUCAACCGAGAUUCCCCCAGUAGCGGCGAGCGAACGGGGAGGAGCCCAGAGUCUGAAUCAGUGUGUGUGUUAGUGGAAGCGUCUGGAAAGGCGCGCGAUACAGGGUGACAGCCCCGUACACAAAAAUGCACAUAUUGUGAGCUCGAUGAGUAGGGCGGGACACGUGGUAUCCUGUCUGAAUAUGGGGGGACCAUCCUCCAAGGCUAAAUACUCCUGACUGACCGAUAGUGAACCAGUACCGUGAGGGAAAGGCGAAAAGAACCCCGGCGAGGGGAGUGAAAAAGAACCUGAAACCGUGUACGUACAAGCAGUGGGAGCACGCUUAGGCGUGUGACUGCGUACCUUUUGUAUAAUGGGUCAGCGACUUAUAUUCUGUAGCAAGGUUAACCGAAUAGGGGAGCCGAAGGGAAACCGAGUCUUAACUGGGCGUUAAGUUGCAGGGUAUAGACCCGAAACCCGGUGAUCUAGCCAUGGGCAGGUUGAAGGUUGGGUAACACUAACUGGAGGACCGAACCGACUAAUGUUGAAAAAUUAGCGGAUGACUUGUGGCUGGGGGUGAAAGGCCAAUCAAACCGGGAGAUAGCUGGUUCUCCCCGAAAGCUAUUUAGGUAGCGCCUCGUGAACUCAUCUCCGGGGGUAGAGCACUGUUUCGGCAAGGGGGUCAUCCCGACUUACCAACCCGAUGCAAACUGCGAAUACCGGAGAAUGUUAUCACGGGAGACACACGGCGGGUGCUAACGUCCGUCGUGAAGAGGGAAACAACCCAGACCGCCAGCUAAGGUCCCAAAGUCAUGGUUAAGUGGGAAACGAUGUGGGAAGGCCCAGACAGCCAGGAUGUUGGCUUAGAAGCAGCCAUCAUUUAAAGAAAGCGUAAUAGCUCACUGGUCGAGUCGGCCUGCGCGGAAGAUGUAACGGGGCUAAACCAUGCACCGAAGCUGCGGCAGCGACGCUUAUGCGUUGUUGGGUAGGGGAGCGUUCUGUAAGCCUGUGAAGGUGUGCUGUGAGGCAUGCUGGAGGUAUCAGAAGUGCGAAUGCUGACAUAAGUAACGAUAAAGCGGGUGAAAAGCCCGCUCGCCGGAAGACCAAGGGUUCCUGUCCAACGUUAAUCGGGGCAGGGUGAGUCGACCCCUAAGGCGAGGCCGAAAGGCGUAGUCGAUGGGAAACAGGUUAAUAUUCCUGUACUUGGUGUUACUGCGAAGGGGGGACGGAGAAGGCUAUGUUGGCCGGGCGACGGUUGUCCCGGUUUAAGCGUGUAGGCUGGUUUUCCAGGCAAAUCCGGAAAAUCAAGGCUGAGGCGUGAUGACGAGGCACUACGGUGCUGAAGCAACAAAUGCCCUGCUUCCAGGAAAAGCCUCUAAGCAUCAGGUAACAUCAAAUCGUACCCCAAACCGACACAGGUGGUCAGGUAGAGAAUACCAAGGCGCUUGAGAGAACUCGGGUGAAGGAACUAGGCAAAAUGGUGCCGUAACUUCGGGAGAAGGCACGCUGAUAUGUAGGUGAAGCGACUUGCUCGUGGAGCUGAAAUCAGUCGAAGAUACCAGCUGGCUGCAACUGUUUAUUAAAAACACAGCACUGUGCAAACACGAAAGUGGACGUAUACGGUGUGACGCCUGCCCGGUGCCGGAAGGUUAAUUGAUGGGGUCAGCGCAAGCGAAGCUCUUGAUCGAAGCCCCGGUAAACGGCGGCCGUAACUAUAACGGUCCUAAGGUAGCGAAAUUCCUUGUCGGGUAAGUUCCGACCUGCACGAAUGGCGUAAUGAUGGCCAGGCUGUCUCCACCCGAGACUCAGUGAAAUUGAACUCGCUGUGAAGAUGCAGUGUACCCGCGGCAAGACGGAAAGACCCCGUGAACCUUUACUAUAGCUUGACACUGAACAUUGAGCCUUGAUGUGUAGGAUAGGUGGGAGGCUUUGAAGUGUGGACGCCAGUCUGCAUGGAGCCGACCUUGAAAUACCACCCUUUAAUGUUUGAUGUUCUAACGUUGGCCCCUAAUCGGGGUUGCGGACAGUGUCUGGUGGGUAGUUUGACUGGGGCGGUCUCCUCCUAAAGAGUAACGGAGGAGCACGAAGGUUGGCUAAUCCUGGUCGGACAUCAGGAGGUUAGUGCAAUGGCAUAAGCCAGCUUGACUGCGAGCGUGACGGCGCGAGCAGGUGCGAAAGCAGGUCAUAGUGAUCCGGUGGUUCUGAAUGGAAGGGCCAUCGCUCAACGGAUAAAAGGUACUCCGGGGAUAACAGGCUGAUACCGCCCAAGAGUUCAUAUCGACGGCGGUGUUUGGCACCUCGAUGUCGGCUCAUCACAUCCUGGGGCUGAAGUAGGUCCCAAGGGUAUGGCUGUUCGCCAUUUAAAGUGGUACGCGAGCUGGGUUUAGAACGUCGUGAGACAGUUCGGUCCCUAUCUGCCGUGGGCGCUGGAGAACUGAGGGGGGCUGCUCCUAGUACGAGAGGACCGGAGUGGACGCAUCACUGGUGUUCGGGUUGUCAUGCCAAUGGCACUGCCCGGUAGCUAAAUGCGGAAGAGAUAAGUGCUGAAAGCAUCUAAGCACGAAACUUGCCCCGAGAUGAGUUCUCCCUGACUCCUUGAGAGUCCUGAAGGAACGUUGAAGACGACGACGUUGAUAGGCCGGGUGUGUAAGCGCAGCGAUGCGUUGAGCUAACCGGUACUAAUGAACCGUGAGGCUUAACCUU
rnacentral:rRNA from 1 species